rnacentral:rRNA from 1 species
AGAGUUUGAUCCUGGCUCAGGAUGAACGCUAGCGACAGGCUUAACACAUGCAAGUCGAGGGGCAGCGGGGGAGUGGCAACACUUCCGCCGGCGACCGGCGCACGGGUGAGUAACACGUAUGAAACCCGCCCGCAGCAGGGGGAUAAGCGGAAGAAAUUCCGUCUAAUACCGCGUAAUGCCGCGGGGCUGCAUGGCCCUGCGGCCAAAGGAAGCGAUUCCGGCAACGGAUGGGCAUGCGUGACAUUAGCUAGUUGGCGGGGCAACGGCCCACCAAGGCGACGAUGUCUAGGGGUUCUGAGAGGAAGGUCCCCCACACUGGUACUGAGACACGGACCAGACUCCUACGGGAGGCAGCAGUGAGGAAUAUUGGUCAAUGGGCGCGAGCCUGAACCAGCCAAGCCGCGUGAGGGAUGACGGCCCUACGGGUUGUAAACCUCUUUUGUCGGGGAGCAAAUUCCGCCACGCGUGGCGGAGUCGAGAGUACCCGAAGAAAAAGCAUCGGCUAACUCCGUGCCAGCAGCCGCGGUAAUACGGAGGAUGCGAGCGUUAUCCGGAUUUAUUGGGUUUAAAGGGUGCGUAGGCGGACUGUCAAGUCAGCGGUAAAAUACGGGGGCUCAACCUCCGCCCGCCGUUGAAACUGACGGUCUUGAGUGGGCGAGAAGUAUGCGGAAUGCGUGGUGUAGCGGUGAAAUGCUUAGAUAUCACGCAGAACUCCGAUUGCGAAGGCAGCAUACCGGCGCCCAACUGACGCUGAAGCACGAAAGCGUGGGUAUCGAACAGGAUUAGAUACCCUGGUAGUCCACGCAGUAAACGAUGAAUACUAGCUGUCCGGGGCGAAUGGGCCCUGGGUGGCACAGCGAAAGCGUUAAGUAUUCCACCUGGGGAGUACGCCGGCAACGGUGAAACUCAAAGGAAUUGACGGGGGCCCGCACAAGCGGAGGAAAAUGUGGUUUAAUUCGAUGAUACGCGAGGAACCUUACCCGGGCUCAAACGACACAGGAACAGCCCUGAAAGGGGUCGGCUCUACGGAGCCUGUGUCGAGGUGCUGCAUGGUUGUCGUCAGCUCGUGCCGUGAGGUGUCGGCUUAAGUGCCAUAACGAGCGCAACCCCCAUCGACAGUUGCUAACAGGUUAGGCUGAGGACUCUGUCGAGACUGCCGGCGCAAGCUGCGAGGAAGGCGGGGAUGACGUCAAAUCAGCACGGCCCUUACGUCCGGGGGGACACACGUGUUACAAUGGCAGGUACAGCGGGAAGCCACCUGGCGACAGGGAGCGGAACCCGAAAGCCUGUCUCAGUUGGGAUUGGAGUCUGCAACCCGACUCCAUGAAGCUGGAUUCGCUAGUAAUCGCGCAUCAGCCACGGCGCGGUGAAUACGUUCCCGGGCCUUGCACACACCGCCCGUCA